AAAAAGAUAAGCUAACAAAGCUAAUGGGUUCAUACCCCUUUUAUAAAGAUUUUAACUCUUUUCUUUUUA
rnacentral:tRNA from 1 species